CUGCUGCCUUCCGUAGGAGUUUGGGCCGCGUCUCAGUUCCAAUGUGGGGGACCUUCCUCUCAGAACCCCUACGCAUCGUCGGCUUGGUGGGCCGUUGCCCCACCAACUACCUAAUGCGCCGCAUGCCCAUCCAUGACCGGGGUCGCCCCCUUUGACCGGCAGGGGAUGUCCCCUCCCGGCAUUAUGUUGUAUUAGGCGGGAUUUCUCCCGGUUAUCCAUCUGUCACGGCCAGGUUGCAUACGUGUUACUCACCCGUGCGCCGGUCGCCGGG
rnacentral:rRNA from 1 species